rnacentral:rRNA from 1 species
CCUACGGGGGGCAGCAGUGAGGAAUAUUGGUCAAUGGGCGCGAGCCUGAACCAGCCAAGCAGCGUGAAGGAUGACUGCCCUACGGGUUGUAAACUUCUUUUGUACGGGAAUAAAGUGAGGUACGUGUGCCUGUUUGCAUGUACUUUAUGAAUAAGGAUCGGCUAACUCCGUGCCAGCAGCCGCGGUAAUACGGAGGAUCCGAGCGUUAUCCGGAUUUAUUGGGUUUAAAGGGAGCGUAGAUGGGUUGUUAAGUCAGUUGUGAAAGUUUGCGGCUCAACCGUAAAAUUGCAAUUGAUACUGGCGGACUUGAGUACAGUUGAGGUAGGCGGAAUGCAUGGUGUAGCGGUGAAAUGCUUAGAUAUCACGAAGAACUCCGAUUGCGAAGGCAGCUUACUAAACUACAACUGACAUUGAUGCUCGAAAGUGUGGGUAUCAAACAGGAUUAGAUACCCUUGUAGUC